rnacentral:lncRNA from 1 species
UGAAACAGGGGGGUGUAUCUUCGCCCGUUGCAGCUACCCUGCGAAACCCUGCCUUACCCGGUAUUUCGGGGCACCCUCAUCCAGUCACCCUAGUCAACUUCUCAGUGGAUCGCUCAGGUUCCGCACCCACCACCAGCAUCCAACGGAAUCUGCCGGGUCGACAGCGGCCCAACUCCAUUCCUGGACGGCUCGCAGGUUAACUUUAUCCCAGG